rnacentral:sRNA from 1 species
GCGGCCGCCGCAGCCAUGACCGUGGAGUUCGAGGAGUGCGUCAAGGACUCCCCGCGCUUCAGGGCGACCCUUGACGAGGUGGAGACAGACGUGGUGGAGAUUGAGGCCAAACUGGACAAGCUGGUGAAGCUGUGCAGUGGCAUGGUGGAAGCCGGCAAGGCCUACGUCAGCACCAGCAGGCUGUUCGUGAGCGGCGUCCGCGACCUGUCCCAGCAGUGCCAGGGCGACACCGUCAUCUCGGAAUGUCUGCAGAGGUUCGCUGACAGCUUACAGGAGGUGGUAAACUACCACAUGAUCCUGUUUGACCAGGCCCAGAGGUCCGUGCGGCAGCAGCUCCAGAACUUUGUCAAAGAGUGAGUGGCCCCCAGGGCUGGGGGAAGAACACUGAGGCCACGCUCCCUCCCUUGGAGGGGAAGGGGGUCUGGGGCAGAGCAGGGGCACCUUGGGCCCAGGCCUCCAGGCCGUGCAGCGGCUCCACGAGGCAG